UUCAGUUAAGUCGGUUUUAGGAGACAACAAGUUAGCCGGGUACACUGGAUAUAAGAAUACAAUAGUAUUAUCAUGGUAACAACCAUAUAUCUCGAACACAUAUAUGCAAGUCUGUCUACCAAAAAAUAAGAUAUCAAAGAACACCUCUGGAUGGUUCCAAUAAAACAAAAUAAUUCAAUAAAGUAAAGAACCCACCAAUGGGCGAAAAAACCAGUUGAGAGUCCGGUGCCAAUCGACUUGAGAAUGAAUGACGACGUGCUUCCAACAUCUGUAUAAGGGAAUUAAUUGCUAAACGAGUUUACUCUUGUUUUUGUGUAUCUGGGAUUAGCACAUAACCAUAUAUACUCAUACCAAUGUGCCUGUACACAGUUUUAUACAUGUUUAAGAAAAAUAGUAAACUGAUUUUCAAAAAAUAGUUCAGUUAUAUUUUUGUUAUCCAACAUGUUUAACCACUGGUACCAAAGGUUAUACGUUAUUCAGAUUUUCACUAGAUUUACGUAUAUUACAAUAUUAAAAAAAUCGGACAUAAGUUGUACCGACCAAUUGAUUAAGAAACGACGAUAUGCAUGAUUACAUUAUUUGCAUAUUUCACAUCUACUUUGUCAGUGUACUAGAACAACAACAAAUGUUCUAACUGUUUAGUGUUUACCUUGCCUCGAUGAGCUGGUCCACAUGCUGCUACUACGUGACCCUUAUUCAAGAAUAUUCCGAGCCUCCCCAAAUCCUUCUUGAAAAAUUGCGGAAUAUUCUACUUAAGCCAAAUCAUUUUUCCUUUUUCUUUGUUUAACCUCUCGUAUGAUAUGAUCUGUUCAGACUGUUCAACAUUUUCAUGUGAAUGAUCAGAGAAAACAUCUGUCUAGAACUAAAAAUUAAAUAUCAAACUCUGCCUAGCUAUAGAAAAUUUGAUUUAACUCUAUUACCACAUUUGCCAAUCCUUCCUGCCAAACUUAAGAACAGGGCCGGCUUAGGUACCAGGGCAAGGGGGCGUGGGCCCAGGGCCCAAUUUUUUUUUGUAUAAUUAAUGUUAAAAUGGGGCCCGAUUUUGUAGAAAAAAUUAGAAAAAAGACCCAAAAUUUUU
rnacentral:lncRNA from 1 species